rnacentral:lncRNA from 1 species
CUUUAGUGACACAAAUUGUGGGAAUAUCUGCAAGACAGAGGGGUUUAGCGGUGGCGUUUGCAGGGGAUUUCGCCGUCGCUGCUUUUGCACAAAGCACUGUGUUUGAAAUAUCUCCAAUAACCAACUAAUUAAAUAAAUAAAUGUCUAUUUCUAGUAGACUAUAUAUGCUUUUCGACUUUGUAUGAAGAAUAAAAUUGGCCAAAUAAUGGCCAUCGUCUUUUGACCAUCCUUAGCUUACUUUUUUAUAUUUUUCUCUCCUAAUCUUCUUUAUGUGUUUGUUUCUGGUUUUAUUACAUUUAUGCAAUAAUAUUUGUGUGUGGUUUAAUUUGGAUGCUUAGUUUGUGCGUUUAGAAGGCUGGAAAAGACCUCUCAUUGGUAUCAAAAUUAAUAAACAGAAAAUAUAACAAAUAAAUUCUAACACAGAAUAAUAACUCUCUUGACCUCAAGCAAGCAUACCAAAUUGGGAUGAAUGGAAAGUUCAAAUAGAAAAACUUCCUUCAGGGCGUUUUGGAACUCAUCACUUUCUUUAGUUUUUUCAGAUGCAUUAUUUUGCCAAAAUCCAAACCUGGAUUAUUAAUGCCAUUUUGAAAGUGGUUUUGAUUAUAUAUAUUAUGAAUAUGUUUUUUUUAAUGGUACUCUUUGGUUAAAAUUUUAAGGAAUAUUGUAGAGUACGGUGUAAAAUUGUGUGCUUAAUUAUUUACAAAGUCUAAAGUCUUUGUUUACAUAGAUCAUGAAUUGUUUUUUUUUUUUUUUUAUGUUGCUCGUUUUUUCUCUCUCACUUGCCUAUUAUUCUACGAAAAAAAGGUGUAAAACCUUUCAAUUACCAACUUACUUUUUUUUAGUUUAUUCCUUUUUAUUCAUCCUCACCCCUUUCCAAAGAAGUGAAAUAGAGUGAGAAUGGGAACUAAAGAAAUGAUUCGAUAUCAAUAAAGGUAACUCAAGAUAGAGAAGAGAAUGAUGCAAAAUUGAGUGAGUGCGACUCAAAUAAGCUUGAGAUCAUUUAGAGAGUUAGCCUUUGGUAGGAAAUUAAAACCUCCAAUUACUACUACUCCAAGAAUAAGCACAACCAAGUAAUUGAUAAGGAAACAACACAAUUUAAUGAAAAAUUCCAAAAUCAAUUAAUAAAAGAACGACAUACGACAUUUUUAGACCACUUGUUCUGAUACCAUUUUAAAAUAUGGAUCGAGUUAAAAAAAAUUAAACUGGGUGAAGGUGAAUUUAAUAUCAUAUCACCUAUUUGAUAAUCCAUAUGAUGUUCCAUUUAAAAAAACAAUUGUCUCCGUGAGAUGAAAACACCACACUAUCAAAAUAUGGUAUCAAAUCUCCUAAAGUCUAAAAUCGUGAUUGGACCAUAUUGGUGAACUAAAAUAAGCAUAUAAUCUCUUGAGAUUGCAUAUUGAGAAUCUCACGUUAAAAAAACCGUAAAAAUUCAAUUUCGAUGUACUUUCUUCUCAUUGUCAGUUGGUUUUAAGAUAAAAUCUCAAAGUACUAUCCAAACAAGUUUGUGUUUGGAGUAGCGUAGAGUUGCAAGUUAGGGGUGAAAAUGCUGGUAUAAUUAAAACUCAAUUGGAGAUCUAAAUUAACGUGUGAGAUGUAAGCUAAGAGAGGAGGUUUAGAUGAUCAUGAUAUUAAAGCAAUAUGAUGAACUCAAAUUAUAUAAAGCUCUCAACUUUUUCUUAAAGCUUGAUAAAAGCUCAUUUGCUUAGGUUGUUCUUACAACAUUGUUUACAAAAAGGGAUUUGAAGGACAGCUCAAAAUCAAAAAUAUGGAAGGACCGAACAUCUCAUAUGUUGCGACAAAACUUAGUGCUAUUAUGACUCAUUAAAUCUUCACUUUUUCUAGAUCUUCUUUCUUUUUCUUCUCUCUUUCUGGAUCAUUCAGAUGCACAAUACCCUGUUGUUUUUCCCUUUCAAAGCUUUAUAUAAACCUCUUUCCAUAUUCAUUUCUCACUCAACACACAAUAUCUCAUUUCUUUUUCAUCUCUCUCUCUCUCAAUAUUUAUAAUAUGAACUUCUUUUCUGCUGCAAUUUUCUUGCUCCUCCUGCUUCUCGGCACAGGUUUUUGUUCCAUUUCUUUUUCUCGUUUAUUUUCAUCUUUCUUCUUUCAACCCAUACAAAACAUACAACAUUACAAUUUUAAAAGAAAAAAAAAACGAUUAAAAAUAUUCACAAAUAUAAUAAAAUGUCAAAUUCUAUAGAAAUAAAUGUGAAUAUAUAUCAAGAACUCAUAGACAGUACUGGUAUUUUACUAUAUUCGUAAAUGUUAUAAUUCAUAAUAUAAUCUAUAAAAAAAAUAAAAAAGCGCUAUAAACAAUUAAUUUCAUUCAAAAUUUCCAAAAGUACAAUUUUAUCCUCAUUCCAUCACUUUUUUUUUUAACGUGGAAUAAGGAAAAACAAAAAUGAAAAGAAAUAUGCUAGCAAUAUGGAUGGUUAAUCAUUUGAACAAGAAUUUAAAGAGUUGUUGAUCAUGUUUGAAUAAUGCACAAUCCUUUAAACUAUCAUUUUAUUUUCAUAUGAACAUCUAAUGUUUGAAGUGUUCUUUUAUAAAUUAAGAAUAUAAUUUUCUAACCCUCUUGUACAUGGCUUUAAAUGUAUUUUAUUCCCAUAUUUAUCCUUAAAUUAGGGUUAUCCUCUCCUUUAACAUAUAUAAUAAACAAUUUAAUUCGGUAUUAUAGUGAAUUAAACUCAUGACCCCUCUUUUUUUUUUUAAUAUUAUUUUCAUGGUUUUGGAGGAAUUUUAACAUACACAGCUACACACCAAAUGCAAAAACUUCACUCAAAUGCAAAUGCAUAAAUAAACCAUAAUUAUUAUUUUGUGUAUUUAAUUUGAUGAUCUAGCAAAGACAAUGUCUAUUAACACUAACUCGUCACAGAUUUAAAUACUUACAUAUGUGAAAGAAAGAAAAAGAAAAAGAAAAAGUAGGAUUAAUAUGAGAGAUAUGGUGGCAGGGAUGGGGCCAAUGGUAACAGAGGCAAGAACAUGCGAAUCUCCAAGCCAUCGCUUCAAGGGGCUGUGCUUCAGUAAGAACAACUGUGGCCAUGUCUGCAAAACGGAGGGCUUUCACGGCGGCCAUUGCCGGGGCUUCCGUCGCCGCUGCUUCUGCACAAAGCACUGUGUUUGAGUUGAAUGUGAAUGAUCUCAAAUCAGUUGUGUCUAUCAGUAAAAGUAGACACUCAAUAUGGGAGCUUUUUGGGCGUGCGUUUAAACCAAUAAGUCUGUCAUUGUUUCCUUUUUUAAAAGUUUUGCCUUUUGUUUGUUGUGCAAGCUUUUCUUCCCAUUUGCUUUGUUUUGGUUUGAAUUAAUGUGAUGUUUAGUUCAUAUUAUAUAUUUGUGUAUUUAUUUGCUGUUUUCUUUCUUUUGAGAUGGUUUUUUUUUUCCCGUAAAGAGGCUCACUCAAGUUAUUCAACUAAGGCUGUAAAGUCAAAUUGCCAUUUAUAUGGUUCAAAAUGCUAGCAAAAAGAGUACUCAUGUCGUCUUAAAUUAUUAAAUAAACAAACUGUUAAGUUUCGCCAUUUGUUCUAAAAUAUCUAUGUAUUUUUAAAAGUUACAGUAUCACUUCAAAGUUCUCAACUUUUCAUAGAAAUUUUAGAAUUAUCUUAGAAAUCUAAGGAUAAAAAUUGAAAUCAUCUCAAAUUUGGAUGAAAAACUAAAGAAUUCCUACUUAUGUGCGGUUUUGCAAAGAUGAUGAAUGAUGAAAAUUUGUGGCAGUAAAAUUUUAGGAUAAAAGUUAUUAUUUUGUAUCAAAAGUAUCCAUAAUAUUUUACGAUUUUAAUCCUAAAAUAUUUUUAAUAUGGAUUUUCUAUACACCACAAAUUAUCCAUUUGCUCUUUUCAAUCAUCCAAAAAUCCAAUCAUUUUGUUCACAUUUUAUUUCUAACUCUAAUGCAAUCGGUCAAAUUUAAAAAAAAAAAAAGAAUGAUAAUUAACUAAUCACUUGAAUAGAGAAAUUGUCACAUAUUCACAUAUUUUGAAUUUAUAAUUCUAAAAAAUAAUUUGUGAGGUCCAAAUAUACAACGAUGAAAAUCAAAGUAAAAUUAAACUCAAAACUAGGAGAACAAAUCGAAAACUUAUAGAGAAAAAGAAAAACUACUUACAAAUUAAAUAAGUAAAUCUCUUGGGCAUCAAGAAAUUUUUUUUACUCCAAGGCUUUAUCCCAAACCAAUGAAAAACAGUUUAAACAAAGCCUGAUUUUCCAGCAUAAUGAUCUUGCAACCAUUUUGCUUGCACUUGCAACCCAGCAUCCAUCAGAGCAUUCAAUGCUGUCCUAUAAAGCCUCUCAUCCAGCCUUGUUCCUUCUAACUUCAUGUCUCUGAGAAGCUUCACCAGCUCAUCAACCCGACUCGUCUUUGAGAACACCCCAACCAUGAUCCCCCCAAAUGCCUUGUCAAUGGUGCCCCCGUUCAUCCGAAACUCCCGGUAAUAUUGCUCGCACUUUUCGAAUUCUGAUGCCUUGACAUAGGCACUUAUGAUACUUGUAUAGCUAACCUUAUCAGGUGCUAUCUUUUUGCGCUUCAUUUCCUUCCAUAACUUCUCAACUUGCUUCAAAUUCUUAGCCUUCCCAUGCAUCUCCAUCAAUAUGUUGUAUAUCCAAACAUUUGGCUGACACCCUUUUUCUUUCAUCUUUGCUAAUAGCCUCAUUGCAUCCUUUAAUCUCCCUGUUUUUCCAUACAUUGAUAUCAAGCUAGAGUAAGCUACCACACAUUUAUCAAACCCUUUCUCCUCCAUUUCUCCAAAAAUGUCCUCUGCUUUCGAGUAGAGUCCGACACGGCAGUAGGCAUUGAUUGCUGAGGCGUACGUCACUUGUCCUGGCUCACAUCCGUCUUCGAUCAACUUCUCGUAAACUUUAACUGCAGCUUCAUAGCCCCUUCUCGUGGCAUAACCAUUGACAAUUGCACAGAAAAUACAGUCAGAGACUCCAAUUUUAAAGUCUUUCAUUACUUCAACAAUCUCAAGUGCCUUUUCUAAUGAUCCUUGUUGAACGUACAUCAAUAUGAGCUUUAGAAACAUCGCAGGGUCCCUCAACAACUUCUUGGCUUUUGCUUCAUUGUAAAGAUCUUCCGCUAAUUUAACUUCCUGGAUGCUAGCAAAAGUACAUAUCAAAGCAGAGUAAAUAGUGUAGUCUUCUGCGAUCCCUUUCUUCCUCAUAUCUCUAAAAAACUCAAGCGACUCGAAAACCCUCCCCGACUUUGCUAAGGACUCGCAAAGUAUCCCGUAAAUCUUGGUCGAAAAUGGCGUAGAAACCGAAAUCCUACUCUCCACUUCAUUAAACAGUUCCAUAACUCUCUCAGAAUCCCCAAGUUUAAGAUAGGCUUCCAUGACCCUACAAUAACAUCCAGAAUCUGCUUCGAUUCUUGCAGAUUUCAAGCGCUGGAAAACCAUGAUAGUGCUUUUGUGCAUGUGAAGCUUAUUGUAGCCUCUCAUGGCAGCUUCAAAAGCAGUCAUAGCAACACCACUAUCCCUUUCAAAAACCUCAAGCAAAGACUUGACAACUUUAAAUUUUCUACCUCUAACACAACUACUAACCAAUUUAGAACAAGUAUCUCUAUCAGGGCAAACACCAAAAUCCACAAAGUCCCUAGAAACUAAAAGAAUCAAAUCCCAUUUCUUCAAUCGAACUAAGUACCUGAUCAGAUGCCGCAAUGUCGAUUUCUGAGGUCGAAACCCAGCCGUCUCCUUCGCUUUCACAUAAUAGUCAUAGAUCAAAUCCUCGGUUCCGGGGUUUUGCGACAACCCACAUAAGAAAUCGUUCAAAUCUUGAACGUUGGGCAAGGAGGGAAGUUGAAAAUCGUGAAGAUUGGAGUUUGAAUGGAUGUCGGGUAAUGCGAUGGAGGGUUGUUCUAAGAUUGGGGAAGGGCAACCGGAGGAAUUUAGAUGAAGGGAUGGAAGAUUUGAAGUGGGAAGAGAGAAAAGGAGAGAGAAGUUAGAGGUGGAGAUGAAAUGGGAUUUUCUGAAAGAGUUUGAUGGAGGGAAUGAGCAGUCGGGAGAGGGAGAGAGGGCCAUGGGAGAUAAGGUCGGAAGAAGAUCGGAGUGCCACUCAUAAUAUAUAGCUUAUCGGUAAGGAAGUUUGGGUUCGAGAUCUUGUAAGCCACUGAAUUGGUGCCAAGUGGGGAGCUUUUGGACAGAAGGGUGAAGGGAUUUUCCAUGUAAGCAUUUGUGUUUCCUCCAUCUCCAUGAAAACUGACAAGCUUUUGUGUGGUAUAUAAUACAAUUAUAUAUAGUGAGUGGACAGUGGUUUCGCUUCUCCAACUUUAUAUUCAUCUGCUGACUGCUUCUACAUCUUUAUUCUUUACUUUCUUUUGCUUUAUUUCAAAAUUUCUUAAGGCUUCUAAUUAUAUAUCACACACAUACAUAUUCAUUUGUAUUAUCUAAUUAAAACAAUAAUGGGUCAAAAAGUUUUUUAACAAAUGAAAUUGCCCUCCUUCAAAUUUUCUUAAUUCCAAAACUCAAACCCAAGAGGGUUGUGAGAGUGGAAGCACAACCAUAGCAUCCUAUUUUGUUCAAAAUAAAAUAUUAUUUAAUAUGUAUUGUAAUUUUACACUUUAAAAUUAAUACAAAAUUUGAUAAUGUGAGAGAAAGACACGUUCCUCCACACCCUACCUAAGUAUGUCUGUGCUUAAUAGAACAACUUAUUUACUGACACUAAAACGGUUAAAAGUGAAUUUCCUCUUGCACUCUAUGUCCCCAUCUAUCCACCCGAUCUUACCCUUGAAAGGGGGGCUUAUUUGACUAGUGUUGAAAAGUUUCUCUCCCCUACACAAAUCUAAGGAUAAUUUCGUGUGAAAUUAUCAUUAAGUUACCUAUGUCAUCAAUAAAAAAAAAUAGUCAAUUUUAUACUAUAAAUAAUGUUAGAACGUAAAAGUGACUAUUUCAUGGUUUCAGUGUUAUGUAAACUCUUAAAUGUCCCAACUUCCAUGUCUCUACAUGAGCGAUUUAGGAUCAUAACAUUUGUGUUAAGUACAAAACGAGAUGCAUCCAUAGUGUCUCUUAAAUAAGGUGUCCAACCUAAUUCAUAUGUCAUAGACCAUUCAAGCUAUAUAUUCAAACUUGAUACAUGUUUAUGUCUAUACAUAAAAUUUAAGUCUACACCAAAUAACUUCAAGACCUUAGUUUAUUGGAUUCAAAAUUAUAGUAGGCAUUUUCAGUAACCACUUUAUUGAAUAGAAUAUGAUUUAAAAUUACAAACUACGAACGAUUUUUAAGUAUGUAUCAAUGUAGGUUUCCAUUAGUGUCUAUUAAUAUAAACUUCCAUUCGUGUGAAUCAAGUAAUGAUAUAAAAUUUUGCUAUAUUUUGGUUUAUUUUGCUAUAUUUGAAAAUAACUAAAUCUUGUAGCUUAGACCAAUCCGCGGGUCAAGUUUUAAAAUGAAAUUAUUUAUAUUUUUAUAAAACUUUUAAGAGCAUUUUCAAAUAUAGAAAAAAAAAAUCAAACUAUUUACAAAUAUAACAAAGUCUAUUUAAGUUUUAUUUGUUAUAUGUGAAAAUAAUUUUAAUUUAUUUUACCAUUAAUAACGAUCUUUUUACAAAACAAAAAAAAAAAAAAAAAAGAGAU